rnacentral:rRNA from 1 species
AGUGAACGCUGGCGGUAGGCCUAACACAUGCAAGUCGAACGGCAGCACAGUAAGAGCUUGCUCUUACGGGUGGCGAGUGGCGGACGGGUGAGGAAUACAUCGGAAUCUACUUUUUCGUGGGGGAUAACGUAGGGAAACUUACACUAAUACCGCAUACGACCUACGGGUGAAAGCAGGGGAUCUUCGGACCUUGCGCGAUUGAAUGAGCCGAUGUCGGAUUAGCUAGUUGGCGGGGUAAAGGCCCACCAAGGCGACGAUCCGUAGCUGGUCUGAGAGGAUGAUCAGCCACACUGGAACUGAGACACGGUCCAGACUCCUACGGGAGGCAGCAGUGGGGAAUAUUGGACAAUGGGCGUAAGCCUGAUCCAGCCAUACCGCGUGGGUGAAGAAGGCCUUCGGGUUGUAAAGCCCUUUUGUUGGGAAAGAAAAGCAGCAGGUUAAUACCCCGCUGUUCUGACGGUACCCAAAGAAUAAGCACCGGCUAACUUCGUG